GUGAAAGUGUGUUUGCAACCACAGAGAAAAGCACUCAAUGCAGACUUGAUUUUAUAUAUUUUGCUUUCAGGCAAUGAAACCCCUGCUGCUAAAGGGUCAUCUACCAUAGAAGAGUAACAACUGGGCCAGUAGAGAGAAAAGCGCACUUUGAAGCAAGCAGAGAGCACAGAAGACAUGUAACUGCUGGCCCUUCAGCCUGUGCCCUAGAAUGAAGACACGAGGAACAAAACUGGACCCAACUGUAAGCCUGGAGUGUCAUCAGGUCAAGACCAAUCCAGUGGAGAUCAGCCAAACAGAGCCAAUCUUCAAACAAGGGAGCAUAAAAAUCAAUGUUUGAUGUUGUAAUCCAUCAAGAUUUUGAGGCCCAUGGCUCCUCAAGCUAAACCUGUCACGUUGUUCUCUAUUCUUGCUUUCACUUCACUUUCCUUUUUUGUUGAGAAUUAUGUCCAUGUCAUUUCAUGAAACUUGUUACGUUGAGGUAAUCAAAGAUUGCUAGUCUGACAAAUCCUGACAAAUCUGAAGGUCACUCCUUAGCCUUCUUUUAAUGCAUUUAACAUAUUUGUCCACUUCCUCCUUAGAACACUUUUCCUCGGCUUCUGGAACAUCCCACUCACGUGAUUCUCCUCCUUCACUGUCACUUAUUUUUAGUUUUCCUCUUUCUCUUCCUGGCAUUUCAGUGUUAGAGCACCUGAAGAUGUGGUUCUCAGUUCUUUUUUCCUUUCCAUAUAUACUCACAUUUCUCUUCUGUACAUAACUUACAUCCUAGAGUAUUUUAUGUCAUCUCCUGAUAUUACCUAUCAUUUUUUUGUAAUGACUAACAAAUUUAUAUCUAAUGUAAGCCUCUCCUUUGGGUUCUAACCCACUAUUAUCCAACUUCACUUGAGAUUCUAACAGAAUCCUCAAAUUUACCAUACGCUUCAUUAUUUAAGACAAAGGCAGCAUACUAUGUAAGACGUCGAUAUAUGGGAGCCUGAGGUUGGUAUAUAUGGGAGCUCUUUGUACUAUCUCGACAAUUUUCUGUAAAUCUGAGACUAUUAUAAAAUAAAAAUAUUAUGUUUUAAAAUAUGAGACCCCUUUUGGAUAAUGUACCUAAAUGAUAAUUUGACUUAACAGUGGUAGGGAAUGCAGUUACAUUAGUCUUCAGGUAGCAGAAUAGGCCAUCUCGUUAAAUAUGCACUCUUUCUCUCUUUUGAGUGACAGAAUCUAAAGAUCAUGAGCCUCAAAAAUGAAAGCAAAAAGAAAAAGAGAG
rnacentral:lncRNA from 1 species